UAUGGCCACAUCGUGUUGAAACAUUGGUUCCCAUACAAUCACCAAAGUUAAGCAACAUCAAGCCUGGUCAUUAUCUAGAUGGGUGACCACUUGGGAAUACUUGGA